UACGUAGGGUGCAAGCGUUAAUCGGAAUUACUGGGCGUAAAGCGUGCGCAGGCGGCUAUGCAAGACAGAUGUGAAAUCCCCUGGCUCAACCUGGGAACUGCAUUUGUGACUGCAUGGCUAGAGUACGGUAGAGGGGGAUGGAAUUCCGCGUGUAGCAGUGAAAUGCGUAGAUAUGCGGAGGAACACCGAUGGCGAAGGCAAUCCCCUGGACCUGUACUGACGCUCAGGCACGAAAGCGUGGGGAGCAAACAGG
rnacentral:rRNA from 1 species